CCUACGGGAGGCAGCAGUGGGGAAUAUUGGGCAAUGGGCGCAAGCCUUACCCAGCACUACCGCGUGAGUGAAGAAGGUCUUCGGAUUGUAAAGCUCUUUGAUCAGGGCCGACCAGAUGACGGUACCUGACGAACAAGCCCCGGCUAACUACGUUCCAGCAGCCGCGGUAAAACGUAGGGGGCGAGCGUUGUCCGGAAUGACUGGGGGUAAAGGGUGCGUAGGAGGCAUAAUAAGUUAGAAGUGCAAUACCCAGAGCUUAAGUCGGGUGGUGCUUCGAAGACUGUUGAUCUUGAGUGCGGGAGAGGUUAAUGGAAUGCCUAGUGUAGCGGUGGAAUGCGUAGAUAUUAGGAGGAACACCAGAGGCGAAGGCGAUUAACUGGACCGUAACUGACGCUGAGGCACGAAAGUGUGGGUAGCAAACAGGAUUAGAUACCCCAGUAGGC
rnacentral:rRNA from 1 species